AGGAGACGAGCGGCGUACGCGGGAGGCAGCUUUCUAGACCUUCAGGCGCCCGGAGACAAGCUGGAGGUAGCUGGCGGGAGGUGGCUGGCGGCAGGUAGCUGGAGGACCGCCCUUCCGGUACCCGUGGAGCUGGUGUUCUCCCUGCCAGGCCCGGGAGUGCGCACGUUCCUGACCCAGUCUGGCCUGGCUCGGGCUGGCAGCCAAAUCCGCCUCUGCGCACGGGUAGUGAGUCCUCGGCCAGGACGCGCAGCUCCGGAGCCCGCGCGGACGACCUUGACCAUCUCGGCCGGCUGUUUCCCCCGAGAGAAAUGACAGGAAUCUCUAAAGAGUGAGAGGAAAACUGAUGACAGGCACUGCCCAAAGAAGAUGGAACUGUCAUAGUUGGCACGCAGUGGCCACUAAAGCCACAGGAAGAUAAUAUCACCCAAGGAAAGGAGAAGAGGGCCUCGGACAGCAGCUUUAGGAACACCAGCAUUUCAGGGCUGGAAAGAGAACGAGAAGACUCCCCAAAAAAGAUUCACAGGAAGGAGGAGGAAAACAAUGAGAGGUGAUGUAAUUUGCCCAUGUUCACAAAGCUAGUAAGUGGCAAACUUAGAAUUCAAAAUGUCUCUAUCAUCCCAAAGCCACAUUCUUGACCUCAACAUGUCUUAAAUAUUGUUUUCCCUUACUGCCUGGUGACGUAAAAGUUUUAUUUAUACGUUUUUCCAGGGGUUCAUUUAUAUAACAGCAACAACAAAUUUGUCAUGGAAUUUGUUCAGUGCAUCCUUGAGUUGCAUUAAGGAAGCAAACUCAUGAAACAUGCUUGUAGCGGCCUCCUCAUGGCUCUCCUUGUGUGCCCUGGCAAAUCUUUGGCUGGGACAUGCUCUCCUUCUACCCAAGAAUGCCCCCUAGGACAUAGCCAUGCACAGUUCAUUGGCAGAUGCUUAGGAUUUCUCUUCAGAAGUCCUUCCACGUGGCACAAGGGGCACGUACAAAUCCAGGAACCACUCUGGGUAUCCAUAAAUAAGUGCAGGAUAUACAACAGUUCAGAAGUUAUAAAGUAAAAAUAAAUUAUUAAAUCCCCCUGUCUCCCCAACCUCAUUGCCUAUAACCCAUUCCCAGAAAUACCAUUGUUAACAAUUUAGUAUAUAUCCUUAAAUGCAUUUUCUACACGUAUAUAAAUAAGUUUUUUAAUGAAAGGGGUCAUAUUAUCUGUAUUGUUCUGAGACUUGCUGUUUAAACUACAAAGUGGCCAUCUCUUCACAUCAGUGUAUGUAGAUUUACUACUUCAUUCUUACCGCAUACCAGUCCACAUUAUGAAGGUGCCAUUAUUGCUUUAAUCAAAUCCUCUAUUGAUGGCCAUUUGUGUUGUUUCUAGGUUUGUUUUGUUUUGUUUUCAGGACGCUUUGCUUCUGCAGAGUGUGAGGGGCCCAAAAAAAUGUUGUUUGGGCUCAAUUUUGGACCAAACAUUUUUCUGAAUUUGCCAUUGUUUGUCCUUAACUUUCUUCCCUUUUUGAGCUUGUUGGCUGUUUCCCUCCUGCUGUUCCCUCUAAUCUCACUAAUACUCAGUUCAAGGUAUGUUUGUUGCUUUAAAGAUCUCCUUACAAAAUCUAGGACUCUUUGGAGGAGGUGUGUUCAGCAAAUAAACAAACUACUAUCCUGACUUUACAUUCUUAUUCUAGAGGAUUUCGGAGACGCUGGAAGAAGUUCUCCUGUUAUCUGGGAAUCAGCUUAAAAGCCUCAAGUUAUGUUUAAACUGUGCUUCUCAUUUCCUUUUUAACAGUAUCAUAGAUAAAGAUUGACUGAAUAUGUUUAAACUGAAGGCAUAGCCUAUAACUUCAAAGAGUUUACUGGCUCCUGCAGUCUACUGGGAGGCAAAAUUAGUGUAAGGGAAACAAUUGGAGAGCAGUUGAGUAUUAAUUAUGUGUUACAAGCCCUUGGGCACCAAAAGUUCAGGGAGGAGAAAGCUGGAGGAGUUCUCUGCGCCUCCAAGGGGAAGGUGGAACUUGAGCUGAGUUAGAAAGCAGGAGGUAACUUUCGGAGAAUUUUAGGCAGAAGUUGGAAGGCGUUUCAAGUACAGGGUAAAUUUUCAUACCUUUUUAUUAUCUGAAA